rnacentral:misc_RNA from 1 species
AUCCUCCUCAACAAAGCAUAUGUAAUUGGUAAUAUCUACAAAGGCUCAUUUAUACUGGGUGUUUUACAGCCAAAGUGGGUCACUGAAUUGGGAAUUGUUAUUCUUCUCGCAUUGUAAUUGGCAAAUGCAACUUCAUAGAACAUGAUUAACAGAUCAAUCACAAAUCCAUUAUUAACUGAUACAAGGACAUCAUGGUCAGAAAACAAAAUUCACUUUUAAGCAUAUGAAUCUUUAACUUCAAAAUGCUACUUAAAAGUUUAUAUAAGUACUUAGAAACAUGCCUUUUUUGCAAUGAAAUCCAUAA